rnacentral:RNase_P_RNA from 1 species
CAAGUAAACCGGGUGACCGCCCCGUUUUUACGGGGAGGAAAGUCCGAGCUCCACCGGGCAGGAUGCUGGGUAACACCCAGGAGGGGUGACCCUACGGAUAGUGCCACAGAAACAUACCGCUCUGUUUCAGGGUAAGGGUGAAAUGGUGAGGUAAGAGCUCACCAGCGACCGGGUGACCGGUCGGCUGGGCAAACCCCAUCCGGAGCAAGACCGAAUAAAGGGACUCAAGGACGCCCGGCCUGUUCCCGGGUUGGUCGCUUGACCCUGAUGGCAACAUCAGGGCUAGAUAGAUGGUCACUACUCCGAUAUUUCGGAGCACAGAACUCGGCUUACAGGUUUACUUGACUC